rnacentral:misc_RNA from 1 species
CUUCUUCUUCUUCUUCUUCUUCGCCAUAUGUCAAGCCAAGCUUCUCCACCACUUGGCGUGCGUUCUUCUUCUUUAUUUUGCCGUUGUUUUCCAUGCCAAAUACAUCAGUUAAGGCCUGGAUCAUCAAGUCAUCUACUUGAGGUGCAUUUUGACUUGGACUUGGAUCAAGACAAGGAGAUCUUGAUCCUGCAACGCCCAAUGCUUGCACUAGCUCUCCAACAAAACUAGACCACACUCCUGAUGAUAUGUUCAUCAUUUUGUAUUAUUA